rnacentral:rRNA from 1 species
AAAAACAUGUCUUUUUGAUUAUAAUUUAAGGUCUGACCUGCCCAAUGAUUGUUUUAAAUGGCUGCAGUAUUUUGACUGUACAAAGGUAGCAUAAUCAUUAGUUUCUUAAUUAGGAGCUGGUAUGAACGGUUUGAUGAAAAAUUAACUGUCUCUAUUCAAUUGAAUUAGAAUUUUAUUUUUAAGUGAAAAAGCUUAAAUUUUUUAUAAAGACGAGAAGACCCUAUAGAGUUUUAUAUUUUUAUAAUUUUUAAUUUUAUGUUUUUAUUUUUAAUUAUCAUUGAAAAUAUUUUGUUGGGGUGACAGAAAAAUUUAAUUAACUUUUUUUAAUUUUUACACUAAUUGGUGAAUUUAUGAUCCUUUAUUAGAUUAGAAGAUUAAAUUACCUUAGGGAUAACAGCGUAAUUUUUUUUGAAAGUUCUUAUUGAUAAAAAAGUUUGCGACCUCGAUGUUGGAUUAAAAUUUGUUUUUGGUGUAGAAGCUUUAAAACUAGGUCUGUUCGACCUUUAA